rnacentral:lncRNA from 1 species
GCCCCAGAAAUUCAAAAUGAAAUGUAUAUUAAAAAUAUCAAACGCGGAAGCGAAGUCAAAAAUUCGAUUAACAUCCCUUACACUAAAACCAAAAAACGUGCUCACAAUAUAAAAGAUUAAACUACCUAAAGGAGAAACUUGAAAGUAAAAGCUACGAAUAUGACUAUGGAGUCUUUAGGCGUCCCCUUCGUCGUCCUCCUGCGGAACCGGCUCGGGAACAAUGUCUUCCUGAUCUGAAAUGAUUAAAUAAGGAAUGAGCUACACUAGCCCAGUAAAUACAUCACGAUAUCUCACCGUCACGGAGGUAAAGGUGGGUAGAAAACACAAAAAGACCAAUGGAGCAUAAUUUAC